GACGAACGCUGGCGGCGUGCUUAACACAUGCAAGUCGAACGGAAAGGCCCUGCUUUUGUGGGGUGCUCGAGUGGCGAACGGGUGAGUAACACGUGAGUAACCUGCCCUUGACUUUGGGAUAACUUCAGGAAACUGGGGCUAAUACCGGAUAGGAGCUCCUGCUGCAUGGUGGGGGUUGGAAAGUUUCGGCGGUUUGGGAUGGACUCGCGGCUUAUCAGCUUGUUGGUGGGGUAGUGGCUUACCAAGGCUUUGACGGGUAGCCGGCCUGAGAGGGUGACAGGCCACAUUGGGACUGAGAUACGGCCCAGACUCCUACGGGAGGCAGCAGUGGGGAAUAUUGCACAAUGGGCGGAAGCCUGAUGCAGCAACGCCGCGUGCGGGAUGACGGCCUUCGGGUUGUAAACCGCUUUCGCCUGUGACGAAGCGUGAGUGACGGUAAUGGGUAAAGAAGCACCGGCUAACUACGUG
rnacentral:rRNA from 1 species